UACAGAGGGUGCAAGCGUUAAUCGGAAUUACUGGGCGUAAAGCGUGCGUAGACGGUUACAUAAGUCGGGUGUGAAAGCCCCGGGCUCAACCUGGGAAUUGCAUUCGAGACUGCGUAGCUAGGGUGCGGAAGAGGGAAGCGGAAUUUCCGGUGUAGCGGUGAAAUGCGUAGAUAUCGAGAGGAACACCUGCGGCGAAGGCGGGUUGCUGGGCUGACACUGACGCUGAUGCGCGAAAGCCAGGGGAGCGAACGGG
rnacentral:rRNA from 1 species